GCACAGUGAGAUUGGAUAGAGGAAGGGGAUGUUGGACAGGAUGCGGUGAUUCAAUAUGUCAAAGAGUAUUUCCUCUGAAUGGUGUUGAUGCCCACCCCCUGUGAAUUGUCUCACUGUCUGAGGUGAAACCUUUCCUUCAGAAACUCAGUGGGCUCCUCUCCAUUCUACUCUCUGCUCCUUUCCCCCUUUCAUCAAUUGAAGGAUGAGGAGGACAAGAUGGACGGAUACCUGUGGAUGACAGCAAUUCUCCUGGCGUUCUGGGGUGAUGUGUUCACUGCACAAUCCCAGGCACCCAACUGCCAAGCAAGAACGAAGUACAUCCAGCAUGUGGUUCCACACAGCCAAGUAUCCAUCGCCUGCCCCAACUUGACCGGGGAUGAUCUCAGGUUCCAUCUACUGGGUUCCGUGCACGAGAACAGCGUUAAAAUUCACACCACGGUGCUCAAAAAGACUAAGGAGCAGAACCGAAACCACACCGGAACCAAUCGUCAAGAAAGCUUUGUCCAGUUCGGGCAGGUUGAACCGGCCCUGAACCAGAACCUGUCCAACAGCUACGUGUUCACAGUCAAUGGAACAGGCCUGUACAGCUGCAAGGCAGAGAGAAUGUGGCCUCCACCAUAUAAAGAGGACACUGUUGAGACUAUGCUGAUUGAAGGGGAAUGUCAGAACCACCAAGUUCCACAGGAAAAUCCGAUUUGCCCGGAGGAUCUCAAGCCACUCCUCCUGUGGCUGUUAUUGGUGGGAUGUGGUGUACUUUUUUUCUACAGCGUCAUCAUCACGAUUAUCACCAUCUUCGUCACAGUAAGCACAUUAGCACCAUCUUCGUCACAGUAAGCACAUUAGCACCAUCUUCGUCACAGUAAGCACAUUAGCACCAUCUUCGUCACAGUAAGCACAUUAGCACCAUCUUCGUCACAGUAAGCACAUUAGCACCAUCUUCGUCACAGUAAGCACAUUAGCACCAUCUUCGUCACAGUAAGCACAUUAGCACCAUCUUCGUCACAGUAAGCACAUUACUAAGAUGACAAUUUGCAUGGAUUUGUCCGACGGGGGUUUUACCGGUAGUUGUUUUGGGAAAUUUCCUGGAAAAUCAGUGCAUUCAAAGUGCUUUUUACUGUCCCUGAUUUUUCCCCUUGAUGUUAUAUUUUAUUCAGGAAUGCAUUUUGUCUGUUUUCACUCCUACUCCCUACUGAAGGGCAGUGCCUUAUCAUUCCUUCUGUUGAGAAGGAAACAAAACAAGGCACAAUCAGCUGAACUGGAAAGACAAAUUCACUUAAUAAAUAGAGAAUGCUCAUCAUUGCUCAAGUGCAGUGUUGGGGAACGUUACUUUUCAAAGUUACUAAUUACAGUUACUACAGUGGGGAGAACAAGUAUUUGAUACACUGCCGAUUUUGCAGGUUUUCCCACUUACAAAGCAUGUAGAAGUCUGUAAUUUUUAUCAUAUUUACUCUUCAACUGUGAGUGACG
rnacentral:lncRNA from 1 species